UACGUAGGGGGCAAGCGUUGUCCGGAAUCAUUGGGCGUAAAGAGCGUGUAGGCGGUCUGUCGCGUCGGUCGUGAAAACUUGGGGCUUAACCCUGAGCUUGCGGUCGAUACGGGCAUGACUGGAGUUCGGCAGGGGAGACUGGAAUUCCUGGUGUAGCGGUGAAAUGCGCAGAUAUCAGGAGGAACACCAGUAGCGAAGGCGGCUCGCUGGGCCGUUCCUGACGCUGAGACGCGAAAGCUAGGGGAGCGAACAGG
rnacentral:rRNA from 1 species